UACGUAGGGACCAAGCGUUGUUCGGAUUCACUGGGUUUAAAGGGUGCGUAGGCGGGCAGGUAAGUCCGUGGUGAAAUCUCUGAGCUUAACUCAGAAACUGCCAUGGAUACUAUUUGUCUUGAAUAUUGUGGAGGUAAGCGGAAUAUGUCAUGUAGCGGUGAAAUGCUUAGAUAUGACAUAGAACACCAAUUGCGAAGGCAGCUUACUACACAGUUAUUGACGCUGAGGCACGAAAGCGUGGGGGAUCAAACAGG
rnacentral:rRNA from 1 species